rnacentral:tRNA from 1 species
UAUGGAAAAAUGCGUUAUACGCUCGACUCAUAAUCGAUCGGUCGCUGGUUCGAGUCCAGCUGGGGCCACCA